UGGACGUAUCCGGAUUAUUGGGCGUAAGAGCUCGUAGGCGGUUUGUCGCGUCUGCCGUGAAAGUCCGGGGCUCAACUCCGGAUCUGCGGUGGGUACGGGCAGACUAGAGUGAUGUAGGGGAGACUGGAAUUCCUGGUGUAGCGGUGAAAUGCGCAGAUAUCAGGAGGAACACCGAUGGCGAAGGCAGGUCUCUGGGCAUUAACUGACGCUGAGGAGCGAAAGCAUGGGGAGCGAACAGGAUUAGAUACCCUGGUAGUCCAUGCCGUAAACGUUGGGCACUAGGUGUGGGGGACAUUCCACGUUCUCCGCGCCGUAGCUAACGCAUUAAGUGCCCCGCCUGGGGAGUACGGCCGCAAGGCUAAAACUCAAAGGAAUUGACGGGGGCCCGCACAAGCGGCGGAGCAUGCGGAUUAAUUCGAUGCAACGCGAAGAACCUUACCAAGGCUUGACAUGGACCGGACCGGGCUGGAAACAGUCCUUCCCCUUUGGGGCCGGUUCACAGGUGGUGCAUGGUUGUCGUCAGCUCGUGUCGUGAGAUGUUGGGUUAAGUCCCGCAACGAGCGCAACCCUCGUUCCAUGUUGCCAGCGCGUAAUGGCGGGGACUCAUGGGAGACUGCCGGGGUCAACUCGGAGGAAGGUGGGGACGACGUCAAAUCAUCAUGCCCCUUAUGUCUUGGGCUUCACGCAUGCUACAAUGGCCGGUACAAAGGGUUGCGAUACUGUGAGGUGGAGCUAAUCCCAAAAAGCCGGUCUCAGUUCGGAUUGGGGUCUGCAACUCGACCCCAUGAAGUCGGAGUCGCUAGUAAUCGCAGAUCAGCAACGCUGCGGUGAAUACGUUCCCGGGCCUUGUACACACCGCCCGUCAAGUCACGAAAGUUGGUAACACCCGAAGCCGGUGGCCUAACCCCUUGUGGGAGGGAGCUGUCGAAGGUGGGACUGGCGAUUGGGACUAAGUCGUAACAAGGUAAC
rnacentral:rRNA from 1 species